CGGUAAUGUAACCCCUAUAGCUCCCAUACGUGGACAAAUAUUCCCAACACAACCCCAGCACCACAGCGUUAUGGUUUAUCAUUGCUUUUUGUUUGUCAAAGUAGACCCCACAUGGCACAAAUGUGAAUUUAAACGUAGACUCCGUGAUAUGACCUGAACACGGGCAUCAAUGAUAUUGACCAUUGAGCAUGAGGCACAAGGGUGCACUUGUUAGCAUCCUUGUGAACUGCUACACAUGUUGGCUGUGUGAGUGAGCCAGAACGUGGGUCUACUGCAGGUGUCUUUCCUCAGCUGACAAAUCACUUCACCUUAUGUGAAAAUUAAAAUCUUGCUUGUGCUCCAUAUGUGCACAAGCAAGCCAUGCUUGAGGGAGACUAUUAUUAAUGGGCCAGCCAUGAUAAUUGAAAUGCACUUUUUAGGAAAAUAAGAAAAAGACAAACAAGCCUCCAGGGAUUAGGUUCAGAUGGAGACAAAGGGAUGAGAGAGGACAGAUUGUUCCUCAAACCAGGAAGGCAACUACAUCCACUUCCCUUGGUAAGUUUCAUCCCGUCUAGGUGUUUCAUUUUAUUGGUCCCCGAUGUGAUUUUUUUUCCUUUCAAACAUACUGUAUCGUAGCAUAUCAAAUGUUUGUUGCCGUGCUAUAGGCCGGUCUAGUGCCAUCUACCCACAGCACAUAAUACAUUACAUGCAGGUCUGAUCCCACCUUUCCCUGUCUUUAACUGUUGUCUGUCUCUGAUGAAAAUACCUAUUUAACGAAAGGAGAGAGUCAGAACUCCAGCAAAUCUUUAGAAUUAAAAACCUUUUCAUUAAUAAUUCUUUCAGCUCCAAGGGCCAGUACAUCAAGAGCCAGACUAGUGCAACCUUCUGGGCCAGUCACUGAGGAGGAAGAAUCAGAGACAAGGACCAGUGGAUUGGAAUCCACUCCAGUUUUAAACAUUGAUGAAGAAAUAGGUAUGUUUAAAUUGUUUUACUUUCAAAAUUGGGGUCAUCUUGGUGUUACUGAAUUAUACUGCACUACAUCUUUAUUUUGACAGUGAUGCAACAUUUUUAAAUGUGGCUCAAGUCUCCAGAAUUUCGGAUUUGAGAUCAAAUGUUUGAUAUGAGGUAACAGUACAGAAUGUCACCUUUUAUUUCAGGGUAUUUUCAGACUUUUCUGAUUUACCGUUUCGAAAUUAAAGCACUUUAUAUGUCUUGUUGCAAGUUUUAUUAGUCGUAUGUACAGGAUACUGAUGCUAACCCCAUCCAAUGAAAUGCUUACUUGCAGGUUGCUUCUCGACAUUUUAGCAUCACUGUCCAAAUACUUCUGUAGGGGAGGGCAAUAACAACAUCCUGGCAGAGCUUUUUCCUGCACAUUUCCUUUAAUAUGAAGCAAUCUGCCAUUCCACAUUAUGGAAUUGGUCUUAAUUGAAUUCAUUCAAAUCCACUAUUGGAAUGUUUACAGUGUCGUUCCUUUUGCAACCGCUGUCUGUAAUUGUGAAAGCUGGAAGCAUUUGCCUUUGAGGAGAGUUUAUUCUGUAGUCAAAAUACACUGAGUGUACAAAAUAUUCCUAAUAUUGAGUUGCACUCCCUUUUGCCCUCAGAACAGCCUCAAUUCGUCAGGGCAUGGACUCUACAAGGUGUCGAAAGCGUUCCACAGGGAUGCUGGCCAGUGUUGACUCAAAUGCUUCCCACAGUUGUGUCAAGUUGGCUGGAUGUC
rnacentral:lncRNA from 8 species